UAACAUAUAUAACAAUAUAUAAUAUGUAUAAUAAUAUAUAUAUUUAUAUAUAUUAUGUUAUAUAUAUGUAGUGUAUAUAAUCAGAUUUUUCAACAGCAACUCUUGAUUCCAGAAAACAAUGGAGUAACAUAUUUAGGGCACUUAAAGAAAAAAGAAUAUGAGCCAAGCAUUUUAUGUGCUACCAAACUGACCAUCAACAUAGAGUCCACAGAAAAAUUGUCAUUAACAUGCAACAAAUAUUGUUUCCAUGAGCCCCUUCUUGAGAAGACUGUCUAGAGAUGAGCUUCAGACAGCCAAAAUGACCAGAGCAGCAUUGGUAUAAGGGACUAGCAUUAAGCAUUAUAGAUUUGUCUAUAGAACCAAGACUGAAUAAUGGCUCUAGGAGAGGCAAGACAGUAUCGUAUGUAGUGGUAUAUAUGGAAGCUCCCCAGCUUACGAUGGUGUUCCAUCUGGUAAACCCAUUGUUAAGUCGAAAAUACCAUAGGUCAAAAUGUAUUUAAUGCACCUAACCUACCAAAUAUCACAGCUUAGCCUAGCCUUUCUUAAACGUGUUCAGAGCACGUACAUUAGCCUACAGUUGGGUAGCAUAGUAUAUUAUAGAGAUCAGCUGUUUCCCCUUGUGAUCAUGGAGGUGACAGGCAGCUGCAGCUCAAGAGAGUGUUGUACUGCUUUUUACUCUAUGCCUGUUGCUUUCACACCAUCAUAAAGUUGAAAAAUCCUAAGUUGGGGAUUGUUUGGGCUCUGAAAAUGUAUGUAUAGUACAAUUAUUAAAAAAUGGUGAGAAAAUGGGAGAAAUGUGAAAGGUAAAAUAAACUCACUGAUUACUUAAUAUGUACCAAUUGGGAACUGAAGAAUGGUACUUCAAAUCAAGUGCUGGUGGGGAGGAAAGGUAGAAAUGUAAGAAAAGGUUAUCAGAUAAUUUCCAUAGUGUUGGGAACCCAUAGAAUACAGCCCCAGAAAAGGGUGGACGAAGCAAGAGUAAUGGUAUUAUAUAAAGGCCUGACUGUACAGAUACAGUACAAGCCUUCCUAAAUACCAAAAAAUAACCUGAAAAGAGACAGUAUGCAAAUAAGAUAGACAAUAUAGUAAAAGAAUACACAUGUACACACAUUAACCAGAUGUACUCAAAGGACCAAGGGCAAACAUAUUAAUUACAUCUGUAAUUGCAAAUGUGCUUACCUUAACCAUAAAAAAAAUAGGAUUUUCAGAUUGGUUAACAAAGCAUAACCAAACAUUAUGCUAUAUUCAAGAAACAUCCAAAUAAAAUUUAAUAAGAUUUAAAGUAAAAAUAAAAGAAUGGAUAAGGCUUACAAGGCAAAUACAAAUAAGAGAGCAAAGUGUAUGAUCUCCAUACCUAACAAGGAAAAACUUAGAUCAAAAAGCCUGAUGAGACAAAGAAAUAUACUUUAUAAUGUUAAAGACCACAUUUUAUAAUAAACUUAUAAUAAUUAUUAAUAUUUAUGUACCUAGUAACACAGAAACAAAGGUCAUAAAGCAGAAACUAAGGGAGAUUCAGAGAAACAGAUUAAAAUAUACCCCAUAAUACCAGACCAAAAAAAUAAUAAGAAUAUAAAAGACCAAAUAGCAUAAUCAGUAAGGUAGAUAUAAUUAGAUAUAUCAAACUCUGAACUUUGAUAGUAAAAAAUACAUCUUUUUGUCAUUCGAGCAUAGAAUAUUCAUUCGUGAAAAUUAGAGCAAUGAACAAAUUCCAAGGAAGAAAAUAAAAGUAGCAGUUUCUGACCAGAAUGCAAAAAAUAAAACAAUAUAAAAAUCCCACCUAUCCGGAAAUUCUAAAACAUCAUUUAAACAGCUACUGAGUCAAAGGGAAAAUAUAAAAUAAAACUUAGAAUUUCUUAAAGAUAAAUGAAAACAAAAUAAGUCUGUAGAACAGAUUUAAAACAGUUUUCAGAGAAAUUUUCGUAGCAUUUAGUACCUGAAUCGGUAAAAGUGAAAAAUGAGAAGAAAAAAUAUGAAUUAAACACCCAAAACCAGGAUGAAAAAUAAACCAAACUAAAACAAAGCAAAGAAUUAACAAAGAAAAAAGAUGCAUUAAUUAUACAGAAAAGCAGUAGAAAUAAUGAAUCCAAAAGCUGAGUUUGAGGCAUAUAUCAGUGAAAUAGAUAUGUCAUUAACUAACCUAAUAAAGGAAAAGGAGAUCACCAAAAUAAAAUUCAAAAGGCAGGGGACUCUAAGAACUCUAAGAAUUGAUACUUUUUUUUACACAAAAUAACACACACACAUCACUUAGCAGAAAAGCCAGGACCUUACUAGGUGCUUUCUAGAUGCUUUUCUACUCAAGUCGAGAACUAGCCAAGAAUGUCCACUAUAUCUCCUACUACUCAACAUGAGUUUGAAUGUAUUAAUAUAGACAAAGGAAACAAAGGCAUUCAGACCACCUACUGUAUCUAAUAAAAUCGUAUGUCUGGAAAACCCAAAAGAAUCCAUGGAAAAGCAGCUACAAAGAAUAAGAGAGUGUAGUCACAUAACAUGAAAAGUUAACACACAUGUAAAAGUAAUACUCCAGUUCGGAUGUAUAGUAGGUCAAGGCAGGUCAGUGCAUUACAAUAACUUGAAUGAACCAGAUAAACUUCUAAAAUCAUGUUUUUAAAGCUAUCACAGAACUAGGCAAGCAACAAAAUAUGAAAGAACUAAAUUGCUAGUGAGAGAAGAACUUUUCCAAAGUGAGCUGAUGAUUGCCAGCUGUGUCUCCCGCCUACUUCAUGCCCCAGCAUUUGUUGAUUCCAGGUAUGAGCUAAGAACUGGCUUUAACCUAGGGAGAAAGCCAUUACUGAGGAAAGAGCAAAAUUAAAGCUUUUAGCAGUUGUUCAAAGUGGAAUUAACAGAUUAGAAAUCAAACACAUGACCAGUUGUUUUCCAAGGAGCAUUUGAUGAGAACUAAGGCCACACAGGAGUCUGGGAGAUCAGGCUCAAAACUUAGGAAAGGUAAAGUGAAGUCUCUCCGUCUCACACUGCUUAGGAAAUAAGGAGAUGCUGGGUGGCAGAGCCAGACAGAAGCAUACGGCUGAUUUUUCCCCUCAGGACUUUUGUCUUGAUGCUAUUUGGAUGGGAGACUGAAGUAAGCUGGAGACCUCUAACAGGAAAAAGUCUUUAGGGCUGAGGAGACAGACACCUGAUGUCAUUCUUGUUCCUCAGUGGUGGCACUCAAGGGAUUCUGACUGAACUGAGUCAGAUUCAGUUGAGUCUUGCUAAACUGCAUGCCUCAACCUAAUUCAUUAUCAGGCAGGAAUGAGUUGAUCAGUCCUACAACUUCUUUGCUUAAUAGAAUGAAGGGAAAAACUGCCCUGAUGAAAUAUAAUAGCUGGAGCCUCUGUGGUUCCUUUAUACACAAAGACCAGAAUACAGUUUUUAGAAAAAAAUACUAGAUAUGCAAAGAAGCAAGAAUGUAUGGUUGACAACAAAGCAUAGUGCAGACAAUAGGAGCAGAUUUACAGAUAAUAGAGAUAUUAUAGUUAGUAGACAAGGACUUUAAGAUAAUUACAAUUAAUAUGUUCACAAAAAUAAAGGAAAAGAUGAAUAGAUGAAAAGAAAUACCUUUUCACCAGAGAACUAGAAACUAUUUUAAAAAUCAGAUCAGCAUUCUAGAACUUAAAAAUACAGUAAUGAAAACCCUUUGAAUGGGUUUAAUACCAGAUUGAACAGAGCACAGUCCAGAAUUGGUGAACUAGAAAAAUAGGCAGACAGGACCACAGAGAAAAUAAGUGAGUAUGGGGAUUGAUAAGAGCGUAAAAAUCAGGACGGAAAAACUCCACAGAUCUAACAUACAUCUCAUUAGGGUCUCAGAGAUGUAGAAGUAAGAGAAUCGGGCAGAAGUGAUACUUGAAGAAAUAGGCUAGAAUUUUCCAAACUGGAUGAAAGGUAGCUCAGCAGAUCCCCAAGCAGAAUAGGUGCAAUGAAAAGCACACCUAGGAACAUUAAAAGCUUAAGAAUAACCCAGAGGAAAAAUAUCAUUUCUGUAUCAGUUACCUGUUGUUAAAAACAGAUGGCUGUUUAGCAGCCAUUUAUUUAUUUGCAGUUCUACCAGGCAAUUCUGCUGGGCUCAUGUGAAGUCACUUAGGUUGCUCCUGCUACAUACCCAGGAUCUCUUCACUCUCAUGUUUGGUGCCUCUGGGGAAGCCUGGAAGAGUGGGAGCUGUCCAGGCUCCAUCUCUACGUGGUCUCUUAAGCACCAUGGGAUCCUUCCAAGUCCAUCUGGUCUCUCCAGCUCCACAUGGUCUCUCUGGCACAGUAAUAAGCACAUGAUGGGUCAGGGCUUCAGAAGGGCAAAGAACAGAAUCUGUCCAGCCUCUCAAAGCCUAGAAACUGAUCAUUUCAACUGCGUUCUUGUGGUCGAAGCCAGUCAUCACAAUGCCAGCUGAGAUUCAAGGAAACGGAUAGGACUUCACUUCUUGGUAAGACAUGGGUAAGGAGGAGGGCAGCAUAGAAUUUUAGGUCUUCUCUCAUUUACCUGAGCCCUCUUACAAGCUCAAAUUGUUUAAAUUCCUCCCACAUGCAAAAUAACACCCACCUCAAAAACCCCACAGUCCCAUCCAAUUAUGGCAUCAGGAUCAGAGUCUACCUGUAUACAGUAGUUCCCCCUCAACUGUGGUUUCCCUUUGCACGGUUUUCAGUUACCCAUAGUCAGCUGAGUUUUCAAAAAUAGUUGAGUAUCGUAUAAGACAUUUUGAAGUAGAGAAAGAUACAAACUAUAUCCACAUAACUUCUAUUACAGUAUAUUUUAUAAUUGUUCUGUUUUAUUAUUGUUUUUAAUCUCUUACUGUGUGUAAUUUAUAAAUUAAACUUUAUCAUAGGAAAAAAUAGUGUUUUGUUUAUAAAGUUCAGUACUAUCUGCAGUUUGAAGCAUCUGCUGAGGGUCUUGGAACAUAUUCCCCUCAGCUCAGAAAGGAUUCCUGUGUAUGGAGGAGGCUCCUCAGAUACAGCUUCUCUUUAUCUGUAAACCCAUGAAUUAGAAAAAAAAAAUUAUUGGUCCCACCCACCCCCACAUGUACAACCUACAUUAUUAUGGCAAGGAUACGAUGUCACAAUUGACUAAAUUUACGAGAGGAAAUUGAAGGCAUGUAGCUAUCCCAUGGCAGUUGUGAAAUCCAUCUGGCUAUAUGUCAGCAAUUCCCCCAAUUCCAGGGGUAGGGAACAUUUGAUUAGUCUAUUUUGGUUCUCUGAAGUUGGCUCCCUUUUUUAUUUCUCAGUCCUUGACUUUUUUCCCAGAGCUGAGAAAUGUCCUGUUUUUGUAGCUUAAUAGCUUUCUCAGCCUGCUUCUAGACUGUCUCUGUCCCAGCUGGCACAGUUUCCACUCUGGCACAACUUCUUUAAAAAGCUUUGUGGACUUUUAAAUUAUAAACCACUCACUCCACCAGAGAGAAGCCACAUCCACAAAAUUCUUCAAGAAGUCCCCUGUGUACUUUGAAUGUGAAUCAGAGAUGAUACCUUUAAGAGUCUUAGAUGCCUUUUGUCUAACUGAGAGCGUCUGCUAGGCAGUGGCUUAACAGGUGGUCCUCAACUUACGAUUUUUCAGCUUAGAAUUCUUUUACUUUAGGAUAGUCUGAAAGCGAUAUGCAUUCAGUAGCAACCAUACUUCAAGUACUCAUACAGCCAUUCUGUUUUUUACAUUCAGUACAGUAUCCAGUAAAUCAUGAGAUAUUCAGCACUUCAUUACAAAACAGGCUUUGUGUGAGAUGAUUUUAUUUAACUAUGGCACCAUGUAAGUGUUCUGAGCACCUUUAAGCAAUGAUAGACCAAGUUAUGAUGAGGUUAGGUGUACUGAAUGCAUUUCAACGUAAUAUUUUCAGCUUACAAUGGGUUUAUCAAGCGUAACCCCAUCGUAAGUCAGGGAGCAUCUGUAGUAGUAACAAGGUCAUAUUGCCGUGCCCUUCAUUUUAUCUUGACCCUGAAACCAUAGUCUUACUGAUAACACCCUGAUUUUUUUUUUUUUUUUUUACUUCAGAACCUUUUGCUGUAGAAGCUGGUACUGAGAAAGUUUUAUUUUGUAACCCUGCAUGUCCCAGGUUGAAAGUAUUUUCCCCUAAAUUCUGCCUGAAAACUGUACAGUUCCUUGUUUAGUUCUUCUGUCUCUUUUAAUAUCUUGUUAUAGGUGUUUUUUGAAAAAUUGCUCAUCACUUCCAGCAUUCUUCCUGGAAACCUUAGCCAGAUCUAUAAUUUCAUAGGUGCUUUUUCUGUCUUCCAGGAUACAGUCUCACUUGUUUUGUCAGAUUACAUGGCUUCUGUCCAGCCUGAAAUAGCAAUUUCCUUGGUGGCUUUCUAGCCUCCAUUAGUAGUUUCAUUGCUGCCCUUCCACCAAAUUGUCUAUAACCCAGUCCCAAAGUAGUGCUACUUGUUUUAAGUUUCUAUCAUGACAAUGCUCUAUUUUAAUACCAAAUACUAUUUCAGUUAUCUUUUUCUGCCUAACACACCACCCCAAAAUUUACUACCUUAAUAAAACAAAACUAUUCUUCACUUAAGAGUCACAACAGUCUGAACUGGACUCAGCUGGGCAUCUCUUCUGGUCUCACCUGGAGUCAUUUAUGCAACUGCAGACAUGUGGGGACUUCACUGGGGCUUGCCGCCAAAGAUGGCUUUACACAAAUGUCUGGUGCCUCAACUGGGGUGGCCGCAUUAGCUGUCACAGCUGACAGUUCCCUCUCCAGCAGGGUGCUGGGCCUUUGCACCUGAUGACUGAGGGCUUCAAGAGGGUGAAAGCAGAAGCAUCCGGGCCAGGCCUCUUAGAGCCUGUGCAUAAAACCGAAGCAGCACUACUUCAUCUGUGCUGCCUUUCAAAGUAUGUCCUGGGGCCUGCUCAAAAUUAUAGGCAGGGGAAAUAUCCUCUGCCUGAUGGUAGUGACAAAGAGUAUGUGGCCCAUCUUAAAUUCACCAGUUAUCUUCACAGAUACAACGAGAUUGUUAGCUUCUGAAGAGAAAGGAUAGAAACUAGAAGCCAUUAUAACAGCACAUUUUAAGGGCUAGAAUAAGAAAACUGCAAGCUUAGAAUCCUAAACCAGCAAAACUAUUCCUAAAACAGAGAGAAUUUGGCACCAGUAGGCCUGCACUGAAAAAUUAAAGGAAGUUCAUCAGGAAAAUCAUCCCAGAUAGAAAUGUGGACUUGGAAGAAAGAAUGAAGAACACUGGGAAGCAUAUGUAAAUGAAUAGUAACUGUACAAAAUAAUAAUUGUACACCCUGAGGAGUUUCAAUUUUAUGUACUGUAUAUCUGAAAUUCAUGGUAACAAUAACGUAAAUGAUGAGAAGGAAACAAAUGGAGUUUAAAAGUCCUAAGGCUUAAUUGAUAUCAGCCAAGUAGUAAAAGUAAUAAUUUACAUUGGCUUUAAUAAGUAAAAAAGCAUGUUUUAAGCUCUAGGCUAACAACUAAAAAUUAUUUUAAAAUGUCACUUAAUAGAAGGAAAUGGAAUCAUGUAGAACAUUUGAUUAAUCCAGAGGAAGUCAGGGAGCGUAAAGGUACAUAAAAGUAGAACACAAAUAGUAAAAUGGCAAAUACAGACCCAAGUACAUCAGGAGUUAAAUGGAGAAAGACUGUGUAAUUUAAGAAUUAAACAUGGGCUAGAAUUUUUUUUAAACCCAGCUAUACAGCUACACUCUUGUCAGAAAAAGUAAGCUUUAAAAUAAGAAGCAUUACUAGAGUUAAAGUGGAAUAUUUUAUAACAAUAAAGGGAUCUGUGGCAGGCUGAAUAGUGCCCCCCACAAAGAUACCCAUGUUCUAAUCCCUGGAACCUGUGAAAAUUAUAUACAUACACAGUAUGGAAAGAAGAGGACUUUGCAGAUAAAAUUGAGGAUCUAGAGAGGGAGCAAUUACCCUGGAUUAUCCAGGUGGAUCCUAAAGCCAAUCACAUGUAUUCUUAAAAAGAAGGAGACGGUACAGUAUUCAGUAAAUCAUGAGAUAUCCAGCACUUCAUUAUAAAAUAGGCUUUGCGCAAGAUUUAAUCCAGAAGAGGAGAAGGCCAUGGGACGAUAAAGACAGAGGUUGAGCUAUGCAGCCACAAGCCAAGGAAUGCCAGCAGCCACAAGAAACCAGAAGAGGGAAGUAGCAGAUUCUCUAGAUCCUCUGAAGGGAGCACAGCCCUGCUGACACAUUGACUUUGACUCAGUGAUACUGAUUUUGGACCUCUUGUUUUCAGAGCUAUGAAAGAAUACAUUUUUAUUGUUUUAAAUCACCAAGUAUGUGUUAAUUUGUCACAGUAGCUCUAGUAAAGUAAUAUUGAUUUAAUUCACAAGAUAGGUAUGUUCCAUAAACUGUAUGAACUUAAUAACAUAGUCUAAAAUAUAUAAGGUAAACAUACCUGGCAAAGAAAAGGGCAUAUUGCCAAUCAAAGUAGAUUUGAAUAAAAUUAUAAUAACUGAGAGCAGUUAUUAUUAUAGCAGACCAAAAAAUCACAAUUACAAACCUGACCUAGUUGACAUAUAUGAGCACUGCAUCCAACAGUGACAAAAUUCAUUAUUUUACAUGCACAAGGAAGGAACAUUUAUCAUUUGUAAACACUUAACAUAUGACUGAGCCAUAAAAAAGGCCUCAACAAAUUUUCAAAGAUUGAAAUUACUUAGCAUGGAUAUUGACCAAAACAGAUUAAGCCAGAAAUCAGUACAAUUAUCAUACAAAAAUAAAUAGCUUUCAUAUAUACAACAAAAAAAGAGAAGUUGUAAGAGAAUUUCAAAAGAAAGUAUGUUAGGCAAAUUUUUUCAUGUCUAUUAAAACUCUUCUGAAGAAUGCAAAACGAGGCUUGAACAAGUGGAAGACUUAACCAUGUUCUUGAACGUGAAGUCUCAGCAUCAUAUGUCAGUUCUUGUAAGUUAAUUUGUCAUUUUAAUUCAGUAACAAUAAAAAUGCUAUGUUUUUCUGGUGUCAGCCAAGCUAUUAAUAAUUGUAAGUUUAUCUCAAAGAACAAACAAUCAAGAAUAAUUAGAUAAACUGUGAAAAAAAGAGCAGUAGGAGAAGAGGAAGAUUUAACCUAGAAAACAUUAAACACUUAUGGAGCCUUUAAUGUAGUUUGAUAUUGCUACAUGAAUGCACAAACCAAUGGGAAAGACUAGAAAACUAAUUAUAUACGGCAAUUUUGAAUACUGUAAAGACAGUAUCUCAUCACUGAAAGGAAAUGCAUGUUUUAAUGCUAAAUACAGGAAAAGGUAAAAUUAUAUCUAUUUCACUGGGCAUGGUGGCUCACACCUGUAAUCCCAGCACUUUGGGAGGCCAAAGUAGGUGGAUCACCUGAGGUCAGGACUUCGAGACCAGCCUGGCCAACAUGGUGAAACCCUGUCUCUACUAAAAUUACAAAAAAAUUAGCUGGGUGUGGUGGUGCACACCUGUAAUCCCAGCUACUCGGGAGGCUAGGGCAGGAGAAUCACUUGAACCUGGGAGGCAUAGGUUGAAGUGAACCGAGAUCGCGCCACUGCCCUCCAGCCUGGGCAACAGAGUGAGACUCUGUCCAAAAAAAAAAUUAUAUCCAUUCCUUCUACACACCAAGAUAAAUUUUAAAUGGUUCAGAGAUUAAAAAUGUUUAAAAAAUGACUUCAUACAAGUACAAAUAGAAUGCAUGAGAAUUUCUCUGUAACUUGGAUAUAGGGAAGAUUUCCUAAUUGACUCAAAAUUCAUACACACCAAGGAAAAAGAUGAAUAACUUAAUUUUUUUUAAAACUUGCCUUUCAUACAAACACUAUGAGCAAAAUGAAAAGCUGUGAGCAGUAUUUUCAAAUUACAUUACAGAUAAACGGAUUUUAAACCUAAUUUCUAAGGAGCCUUUAAAAAAGAAGGAAAAAGGUCGGCAAUCUUAGAAAAAUGGACUAGAUUCAGCAGAAAAGAAAAUGAAAGCAGAAAAUUAUGGAAAAUAGUCAAAUGGAAUAUAAAGAGAAAAAAAUGGAAAUAUGAGCUUUUUUUUUUUUUCUUGAGACCGAGUUUCGCUCUUACCCAGGCUGGAAUGCAAUGGCAUGAUCUCAGCUCACCACAACCUCUGCCUCCUGGGUUCAGGCAAUUCUCCUGCCUCAGCCUCCUGAGUAGCUAGGAUUACAGGUGCAUGCCACCAUGCCCAGCUAAUGUUUUGUAUUUUUAGUAGAGAUGGGGUUUCACCAUGUUGACCAGGAUGGUCUCGAUCUCUUGACCUCGUGAUCCACCCACCUUGGCCUCCCAAAGUGCUGGGAUUACAGGCUUGAGCCACCGCACCCAGCCGAGCUUUUUUUUUAAAAAAAGAGAAUAAUCUACUACAAUACAGGAGGCUGAUGAUCUAGGCAGAGAAACCAACAGCCUUUAGAAGUCUUGCACAGCUAGAGAAAUAAGAUUGGAUAAUAGAAAGGCCAAGAUCCUGCUGAGAAGGGAAAGACAAAAAUGUGAGCCUAGAACUCUUCACAGUACGUUGGCAAAUUCUGAAGCUACAAAACACAGGAGACCAGAAAGCCAAGUAGAAAGCUGCGAAAAACCACUUGUUGGAGGCAAGUAUUAGAGUUCAAGACACAGCAUUGAGGACAAGAGGCUUUUGAUGACUAUCCAGUGAUUUCAUUUGGAAGGACUGGAGACUUGUGCCUUUUAAGAAGGGACAAAACUGAGGGUAAGUGAACUGUGGAUCUAGGAAUGACAAGACCAGCAGGAAGAUUACCAUUGCCAACUAUAGCCUUUACACAAUGGCAUAGCAGCCCAAAUUAAGUCAGUUAUUGAAUUAAGUUUAUUGUCUACUUGCCAAGCUAAAGAAAGUGUGAGUGCUCUCUUUAGAAGAUAACAUCAUAUGGAGCCUCUACAAUUUUUUAGACACAAUGUCAACCCUUUGAUAAAAUUAUACUAGGCAUUCAAGAGAUGGGACUGAAAACCAAGAGACAGUGCAGACAAUAGAAAUAUACCCACAGAUGAUCCAGGAAGUGAAGUUAAGACCAGGACUUGAAAUAGCAAUGAUAAUGCGUUCAAGAAAAUAGAAGACAAGGAGAAAAUAAAUAAAAGGGAAAAUUUUCCCCAGAGAAUUGGAACAUGUAGGGAAUAAAAAUAAUCAAAUGGAUAUUCUAGAGCUGAGAAUUGCAAUAACUGAAAUUAAGAACUCAAUUAAUGGAUAUAAAAUUAAAUUAGACAAUGGAGAGCCCAGAGAUAAACCCUCAUAUAUGUAGUCAAAUGAUUUUCCACAAGAGUGCCAAGUGGUGUUAGGAAAACUGUAUAUUCAAAUGCAAAAGAAUGAAGUUGGACCCUUACCUUAUACCGUAUGCAAAAGUAAACUCAAAAUGAUCCAAAGACCUAAAACUGUACAACUCUUGGAAAAAACAUUAGACAUUAUUUGUAUUUAUUGGAUAUGACACCAAAACAUAGGCAACAAAUGUAAAAAUAGACCAGUUGGACUACAUUAAAAUUUUAAAACUUCUGGGCAUCAGAGGACACAAUUCAGAGUAAAAAGACAGCCUACAGACUGGGAGAAAAUAUUUGCAAGUCAUGCAUCUAAUAAGGGGUUAAUGUCAAAAUUAUAUAAACAAUUUGUACAACUUAAAAACAAAAUAACCCAAUUAAAAAAUAUGCAAAGGACUUGAAUAGUCAUUUCGCCAAAGAUUAUAUGCAAACAGCCAACAAACAUAUGCAAAUAUGCUCAGUACCACAAAUCAUCAGGAAAAUGCAAAUUAAACCACAAUGAAAUCUCACAUCACACCAAUUAGGAUGGCCACUAUUUAAAAAAUUAACAAGCAUUGGCAAGGAUGUAGAAAUUGAAACGCCUAUGCACUGUUGGUGGGAAUAUAAAAUGAUGCAGCUGGCUUUGCAGACACUGCUGCCCCCAAGACCCCCUGCUACUAGCCAUGGUCAUCCCCAGUGUGUCCUUCAAUAUCACCAUCAACAGCAAGCCCUUGGGACACAUCUCCUUUCAGCUAUUUGCAGAUAAAGUUCCAAAGACAGAAGAAAACGUUCACUCUGAAUAAUAAAGACAAAGGAUUUGGUUAUAAAGGUUCCUGCUUUCACAGAAUUAUUCCAGGGUUUAUAUGCCAGGGUGAUGACUUCACACACCGUAAUGGAAUUGGUGGCAAGUCCAUUUAUGGGGAUAAAUUUGAUGAUAUGAACUUCAUCAUGAAGCACACAGGUCUUGGCAUCUUGUCCAUGGCAAAUGCUGGACCCAAAACUAAUGGUUCCCAGUUUUUCAUCUGCGCUGCCAUGGCCGAGUGGUUGGAUGGAACCAUGUGAUCUUUGGCAAGGUGAAAAAAGGCAUAAUAUUGUGGAAGCCAUGGAAUGCUUUGGGUCCAGGAAUGGCAAGACAAGCAAGAUCGCCAUUGCCAACUGCAGAGAACAGUAAUAAAUUUGACUGGUGUUUUGUCUUAACCACCAGACCUUUCCUUUGGUAGCUCAGGCAAGCACCAUUCCACCCCAUUUGCUCAGAGUCAUAUAAUCUUUGUGGUCUCACUACAGUUCUUUGAGUCCUAUAUUUUCAUUAUCUCCCUCCACAUAUAGCUGGAUUGCAGAGUUAAGUUUGUGAUUGUGAAGUAAAAACUAACAAAAAAAAAAAAAAGGUGCAGCUACUAUGGAAAACAGUGUCACAGUUUCUCAUAUAAUAAACAUUGAAUUACCAUAUAAUUCAGAAAUUCUGCUACUGGAUAGAUAUCCAAAAGAAUUGAAGACAGGGUUCCAGAGAAAUAGUUGUACAUCCAUGUUCAUAGCCAUGCUAUUUACAGUAGCCAAGAGGUGGAAGCCAUCUGUGUGCCCAUCCAAAGAUGAGUGGAUAAACAAAACAUGGGAUAUACAUACUCUGAAUACAGGCUUAAAAAGGAAGGAAAUUCCAACACAUGCUACAACAUGGAUGAAUCUUAAGGAAUUAUAGUAAGUGAAAUAAGCCAGUCACAAAAAGGCAAAUACUGAAUAAUUCCACUUAUAUGAGGUAUCUAGAGUAGUCAUAUUCAUAGAGACAGAAAUUAGAAUGAUUGUUGCCACCAACUGGGAGGACAGGGGUGUGAAAAGUUGUUUGAUGGGUAUUGAGUUCCAGUUUUGCCACAUAAAAAAGUUCUGAAGGUUGGUUGCAUGAUGUGAAUAUAGUAAACACUACUGAACUAUUAUUUACAAUGGUUAAGAUGAUAAAUUUUGUGAGUUUUCACUACAAUAAAAAGUAGAACAGUAGAACAGAUGAUUAGUCACAGCAGAAAAGAAGAAAAAUAGGUCAAAACAUGUUAUUAGAAAAUAUUCAAACUGAAGCAUGAAAAAGAAAAAUAUUUUUAUUAGAAAAUAUCCAAACUGAUAUAUAAAGACAUAAAGGAAUUUGUGGAGAUAGAGGGAAGAUAAGGGAAUAAAAGACAUGUGGGACACAUAAAAAAAAAAAAAAAUCCAACCUACAGAAUCCCAGAAGAGGAGAGAGAACAGGGCAGAAGCAAUGUUUGAAGAGAUAAUGGGCUGAGAAUUUCCUAAAAAUUACAAAAGACAUUAUUCCACAGAAUCAAGAAAGUGUGUGAUCCACAGAUAUAAAUACAAAGAAGCCUUACUAGAACAUGGUAGCAAAUUGCUGAAAACAAAAGACAGAGAAUACAGUCUUAAAAGACAGAAGGAAAAAAGUCACUUUUAAAUGUACAAGACUGACAGCUGACUUCUCAGCAGGAGCAGUGGAACCAGAAGACAACAGAGUGACGUUUCAAUUGCUGGAAGAAACAGCAACAACCUAGGCCUUUGCACCCUGCAAAUAUCCUUUAAAUAUGAAGCAAAUGAAGUAAUCAUUGUGUGUGUGAUGGGCAAAACGAUAGACCAAUAGAACAAUGGGACAGAAGAGAGAGUCCAAGAAUAAACCCUUCAAUGCAUGGUUAGAUGAUUAUCUCAAAAGGCACAAUAGCAUUUGAAUGAAGAACGUAAAAUCUCUGUAAUAAAUAUGGCUGGAAAACAUGGAUAUGCAUAUAGAAGAAGAAAUAGAACCCAUACUUCACAUCAUUCACAAAAAUCAAAUUAAGAUAAAAUUAUAGACAUAAAAGUAAAGCUUAAUCAAUAAAGCUACCAGAGCAAAACAUAAGAUAUUCUUUUCAAGUUCUUGGUGUAGGUAAAGACUUCUUAGAAGGCAUGAACUAUAUAAGAAAAAAAAUUGAUAAAUUGGACUUCAUUAAAAUUUCUCAGCUAGGUAUGGUGGCUCACAGUCUAAUCCCAGCACUUUGGGAGGCUGAGACAGAAGCAUUAUUUGAAGGCAGGAGUUCAAGACCAACCAGGGCAACAUAACAAGACCCCAUCUGUGUUAAAAAAUUUAAAAAUUGGCCAGCAACUCCUGUAGUCCUAGCUAUUUGAGAGGCUGAGGUGGGAGGAUUGCUUGAGCCCAGGACUUUGAGAGUGUAAUGAGCUAUGAUUGGGCCACUGCAGUCCAGCUUAAGAAGAAAUAGUUUCUCUUCAACGGACACUUAAGGAAAUAGACACAGACUUAGAGAAAAUAUUCACAAUACUUAUAUCUGACGUAGAACUUGGGUUCAGAAUAUAUAAAGAAGUCAUACAAUUUAAUAAUUUUUUAAAAGACAAUGCAGUUUUUUAAAGGAGAGUUUUGUGAACAGACAUUUCACAAAACAUGAUAUAUAAUAUGUCUAGUAAUUACAUUUUAAAAGUACCCAAUAUAUUAGUCAUCUAUAAAUGAAAAAAUCCCAGUGAAAUACCAUUUUCAUACCCUCUAGAAGGGCUACAGUGAAAAGGACUGAUAAUAACAAAUGUUGGAGACGAUGUGGAGCAACUGGAACCCUCAUAUGUUGCUUGUCGGAGUAGAAAAUAUGAUUAUUUUGGAAAACAGUUUGUCAGAUUAUUAAAGGGUUAUACACACAUGGCCCAGUAAUUUUACAGCUAGAUAUUUAUCAAAGAGACAUGAAAACAUAUGUUCACAAAAAACCUGGAAAAAAAUAUUUACAGCAGCUUUAUUCAUAAUAGCCAAUAAAACUGAGAACAGUGAGAUGCCUGUCAAAAGAAGAAUAGGUUAACAGUUAUCUAUUGAGACAGUGUAUACUGUUCAGCAAAAAAGAACCAAUAUCCACAAUAUUGAUGAAUCCCAAUAUUACUCUCACAAAAGAAGUUGGUCACAAAAAAUGCAUAAUGAUUCUAACUAUUUGAAAUUCUAGAAUAGGGAAAACUAACAUAGGAAUAGAAAUCAGAUCAGUGAUGACUUUUUGGGGGAAGGUGUUGACUGGGAUACAGCAUGAAAGAACUUUCUGGAGUGUUGGAUAUUUCUAUGACUUUGUUACUUAAUUGUCAAAAGUGAAUGUUACACUUAGGAUUUGAGCAUUUGUUAAUGUAAGUGAUACCUCACUUUUUAAAAAUGAAAGUUAAAUAAAGAUUUUAGACCACUAAAAGCUGAAAGAUGUGUGUUACCAACAGAUUGUACUAAAAAAUCACUAAAGUGUUUUUUCAGGCAGAAGGAAAAUUAUCCCACAUGGAGGCUCAGAAAUAUAAGAAAGAGCAAAAAAGCACAGAAAGGGUAAAUAUUGGAGGAGACAGAGAAAUGAGGAUGGCUGUACAACGUAAGGACAGUAACAUCUGCUGAAGGAAAAAUGGACUCUAACAAUAAUAAAGCAAUAAAAGGCAGAAGGGAACAGAAAUAAAAAUGAAAUAACAACAAUAAUAAAGCAAUAAAAGGCAGAAGGGAACGGCACUGACCACGUUCGAUAGUCCUAGGGCCAGUUGGACAUUUCACAUCCAUGCCGCUGCAGCAGAGUCGGGGGUAUACCUCCAGAGAGCCCUCACGUAGCUCGCACCGUAGUCCAGGGUCCAUUCUCUGCCCACCUGCCUUUUCUGCCACGUGUCAGUUCAGGUAGAAGGGAACAAAUCAAAUUAUUAAUUGUGGCAGCUACGCUAACUUAGAUACCCUAGGUUCCAAAACAGAAUCAAUAUCUUUUGUAAUAGCCCCAUGGACAUUACAUGGGGAGGGACAUGGCUGGCUAUGAGAACCCUGACACUUGGAAACUCAAAGCUGUUGCUUUUCAUCAGGUAUUUGUAGUUUAUUUACAGUCAUCCCAGUCCAGAUAGGUUUACCAACUAGUGUUAUUUUUUUUUUUUUUUUACCAAAUGUUACCUGUAACAGAUAUUAGAUAUUUAGGGAAAUAAAGCUACGAGUUUAAUCCAACAUGGUUUUCCAUUUUAGGCUCACAAACUGACUCACAACCUUGAGUUAGUAACUUCAGUACUGACUUUAGGGUAGAUAAGAAUUACCUGGAGGCCUUGUUAAAACACAGAUUGUUGGUCCCUAUGACUUACUUCCUAACUCAGUAGCUCUAGGGUGAGGCUUGAGAAUUUACAUAUCCAGUAAGUUCCCAGGUGAUACUGGUGAUACUGCCGACCCAUGGACCACACAUUGAAACCAAUGCCUUAUUCAGUAACAGUGAUAACAAAGUACAAGUGCCCCUUUCCUGUUGACUAUUCACAAAAGGGUCCUCAUAUACUCUUAGCUUCAACUUUUAAAAUACUAGUCAUUAUUAUUUCUUCAAAAGCCCGUCUCUAAUUGUCUCCUUAGGGAGUUUUUGAGUUUGCAUUGACAUUGUCACUGUCAGCAGAUGGCUUUGACCAGAUUCCAUUUUAGGGUUAAAUCCAUCUGCAUUAUCAGAAUCCUCAGGUUGCAGCUUAGAGGGCUCCCCCAGUGGCCGUAGACUUGCACCAAGCUGCUGCCAUUGCCACUGCACCAGUUUGUAUGCCAGAUUACCACAUAGUCCUAUGCAACCGUGUGGGCUGCUGCAGAGUAGUUCCUCUACUGUCCUCCACCUCCUCAGGUAGUGGCUCAUAGACAUCACUCCGUGCUGACUGGAUGAGCAGGCAACUCAGCUUGGUCAGAGCCAGCCGCCUGCUCCACCCACUUUGUCCUAUCACAGACCCAGUCACAGACAUAAACUCUCAAACCCAUGUGCUUGUCUCCUUCCCACUCCCAGCCAGGAAACAAUGCCUAGUUUGGCCUAAAUGCAUCAGCCGCACCAAGGCAAAAUCGUUUCUGCCAACUAGCCCAGGGGCAGCUGGGUUUCUGGUCAAGUCUAUUUUAUGGACAGUGAAGAGGAGUAGACAGUGUCUCUCAUCAUAAGUUUGUCUCCAGCUUUCAUCCCUUCCCACAAGGGGAAGAUUUCCAAGGGAACAUAACCAAAAGAUUAACAUGAGGUCAACUUCCCAUGAGUAUUCAUUGAUGAAGUGCCUGGUUUUAGCAUUAUCAAGAAAGGAAUGGAAGUAAGGUAAUAAUAUGAAUCUUUAGUGUGUAAUAGGUUGAAAAUGCAUGUUGCAAUUUCUAGGCUAACCACUUAAAGAAUAGCAAAACGUGUGCGAUUAAAGGAAAAAGAAAAACAAACAUUUGAUAAAUUUUUUUAAAGCGACAGAGGAGGACAAAAGGAAUGGGUGAAAUAAAAGGCAAAUCGUUAAAUGACAGAUAAACCCAAUACAUCAGUAAUCAGAAUAAAUAUAAAAGGAGGAAGUACUCCAGUUCUCCAGACUGACAUUAUCAACUGGGUUUAAAAAUAUUAACCAAAUUAUGUGCUUUUUAAAAGUAACACUUCUUAAAUACACAACAGUUGAAAUUAUACAGAUUUUUCAAAGCUGUAUCGGCCAGUCACAGUGGCUCAUGCCUGUAAUCCAGGCAUUUUGGGAAGCCAAGACAGGAGGAUUGCUUGAGACCAGGAGUUUGAGACCAGCUUGGACAACAUAGUGAGACCAUCUCUACCAAAGAACGCAAAUAAACCAACCUACCCAAGCAUGGUAGCAUGCCCUGCCUACUCUGGAGGCUGAGGCAGGAGAAUCCUGAGCCCAGGAGUUUGAGGCUGCAGUGAGCUAUGAUUGUACCAGUUCCCUCCAGCCUGGGUGACUGUUUUCAGAAAAGAAAAAAGAUAUAUCAUGCAAAUACUAGUAAAAAGUAAGUCAGUGUAGCUAUACUAAUAUCAGACUAAUAUGUAAUUUAAGGCAAGAAGCAUUACUACAGUUAAAGACAGAUAUUUCAUAAUGAUAAAAUGAUCAGUCUACCAGGGAUAUAGAAAAUUAUAAAUUUAUAUGUAACUAAUAGCAUAGUUUUAAGUUAUAUAACAAGUAUUAAACACGAAUCUGCAGUCAUAGUGGAAUUUAACAUACCCCUCACUAAGUGAUAGAAUUAAGCAGACAAAAUUGGCUAAAAAUAUAAAUCAUCCUACUAAAAAACAAACAACCUAACUGAUAUUUAUAUAAUGUUGAUUUCAACUAUGACAGACCACUCAUUUUUAAAAAGCUAUAUGGAACAUUUACCAUCUUGAUCAUAACCUGAGUCAUAAAUUAAGCCUCAGUUAACUUUUAAUACAUUUAAAUCAUUUACAUUAUGUUUUCUGACCAUAGUAGAAUUAAGCUAAAAAAAGAUCAGAAACAAAAGAAAAGAUAGAAAAUCUCCAGGCCAGGUGCAGUGGCUCACACCUGUAAUCCCAACACUUUGGGAGACCAAAGCCUGUGGAUCACCUGAGGUCAGGAGCUCAAGACCAGCCUAGCCAACGUGGUGAAACCCCAUUUCUACUAAAAAUACAAAAAUUAGCCAGGUGUGGUGGUGCAUGCUUGUAACCCCAGCUACUUGGAAGGCUGACACAGGAGAAUCAUUUGAACUCAGUAAGUGAAGGUUACAGUGAGUUGUGAUUGCUCCACUGCACUCCAGCCUGAGCAACAGAGCAUGACUCCAUCUAAAGAAAAAAAAUUCUCCAGCUAGGACACGGUGGCGCAUGCCUGUAAUCCCAGCUACUCAGGAGGCUGAGGAAGGAGAAUUGCCUGAACCCAGGAGGUGGAGGUUGCGGUGAGCCGAGAUCGCACCAUUGUUACCAGCCUGGGUAACAAGAGCGAAACUCCGUCUCAAAAAAAAAAAAAAAAAAAAAAAUCUCCAGCUAAUUUGGUAACAAAAUUAGAAAAUAUUUUGAAAUAUCUAAUGCAGUAUAAAAGAUACGGCAUAUCAGAACAUGUGGGAUGCAAUUAAAGCAGUACUUGAGGGGAAGUUUAUAACCUAAAUGGAUAUAUUAGUUUAAAACAGAAAGGGGAAAGGAGAUGAAAGUCAUUGAUGUAUGCUUCUAGCUCAAAAAGCUAGAAAAAGAACAAAUCAAAACCACACUAUAUUGAGAUAUUUUUCACUCAUCACAUUGGCAAAAAGUCAGAAGUUUGAUAAGACAAAACCUCUUAGACUGUGGGGAAACACAGGGCCAUAAGUUGCUAAUGAAAAUGUGAAAUGGGCUGGGUGCGGUGGCUCAUGUCUAUAAUCCUAGGACUUUGGAAGGCUGAGACAGUGGAUCACUUGAGGUCAGUUCAAAACCAGCCUGUCUAACAUGGUGAAGCCCUGUCCCUACAAAAAAUUUUUUAAAAAUUAGCUUGGUAUGGUAGCAGACAUCUGUAAUCCCAGCUACUCAGGAGGCUGAGGCAGGAGAAUCGCGUGAACCGGGGAGGCACCACUGCACUUCCUCCUGGGCAACUGUCUCAAAAAAAAAAAAAAAAAAGGAAAUGGAUGACCUUUACAGGGAAGAAAUUGACUGUAUCUAGCAAAAUUAUACAUUCAUUUACCCUUUUAGCCAGCAAUUCUACUUUUAGUAAAUAUUUCCAAAAAUGCAUUGGCAAAAACAUUAAAACAAAAAUACUUAUGAAUGAGGCUGUUUAUUGUAACCUUAUUUGUAGCAAAGUGGAAAUAACCCAAAUGCCCAGCAGUAGUAGAGUGAUUAAAUGAGAAGUUCCCCAUGGAUGUACAUUAUGUGUGAACAUCCACACAGUGGAGGCUUCCACAGCUGUCAAAGAGAAAAAGGACCAUCUCUAUGAAAUAAAAUCUCCAUGCUAUCAAGUGAGGGAAAAAAAGUGGAAAAAAUACAAUAUCUUAGGUUACUAUUUAUCUUUUUUUUAAAAUGGCAAGGGAAGAGUGGAUAAAUAUAGAGAAAAAGUUAUUUUUAAAUAGAAGACUAAAUCUUAAAAAUAUUUUUAAAUGGUUUUCCAUAGAGGAAAGAAAAUAGGAGGAGAGGACAAGGAAUGAAGCUGGGAUCCUUUAAUCUACAUUAUUUUUCAGUUUGACUUUGAAACCAAGUAAAUAUUUGGCACAAAUACACAAAAUUUUUAAUAAAGCAGUUUUUACUUAAAAGUAAAAUUAAAUGAGCCUAACUGUGUAUUCAGUUGGUAUUAUAACCAUAUCAAGGGGAAUUAUCAAGAGGAAUUAUUCCAAGUGACUUUAAAACACAAUUACAGUUGACCCUUGAACAACAUGGAAGUUAGGGGUGCCAACUCCCUACACCACUUAAAAUCCACAUAUAACUUUUGACUCCUCAAAAACUUAACUACUGUUAGCCCACUGUUGACUUACCAAGUCUGGGAAAGCAAGGAAGCUCCCAAUGACAACAAAGUUUGUAACAAAAUAAUUUGAAAUGAACUUGAAUAAGCUCCCAUUGGCCAAACACAGGACAGUUUGAGCAACAGGAAGAUAAUAACUGCAGUGAAUGAAAUGCAUCUCAUACAGUUAAACUACUGAAUUUGCUAUGAUAAUUGUGCCUUGGAGAACGUAUGGUAUACUAGUUCGUUUUCACUCUGCUGAUAAAGACAUACCUGAAACCAGGAACAAAAAGAGGUUUAAUUGGUCUUACAGUUCCACAUGGCUGAGGAGGCCUCAGAAUCAUGGCAAGAGGCAAAAGAUAUUUUUUACAUGGCGGCAGCAAGAGAAAAAUGAGGAAGAAGCAGAAGUGGAAACCCCUGAUAAACCCAUCAGAUCUCAUGAGACUUAUUCACCAACACAAGAAUAGCAUGGGAAAGACCAGCCCCCAUCAUUCAAUUACCUCCCACUGGGUCUCUUCCACAACACAUGAGAAUUCUGGGAAAUACAAUUCAAAUUGAGAUUUGGGUGGGGACACAAACCAUAUCACAUGGAAAUAGAUUUUUUUCAGUAUAGAUAUAAGUAAAAGUAAAAAGCAUGUAUCUUUCCUUUUCUAUAUUAGUAUUUUGCAGGGGGUGAGCAGUUGAUGAGGGAAAGUCUCUCUAGGAAUAUUCCAAUUAAUAAAUUGGCAGUGAUAACCUCAGAAUAUUACAGUUUUGUAACUCUUAAUGAAUUUAUGGCAAUAAUUAUCACUGGCUACUAAUAUCUCAAAUAGAGACACCCAGGCAGCAUGUAUGUUCAUUAGAAGCACACAUCACUGCCUAUAAAAUAGUUUCAUCCCUACUCUUUAGAAGUUAAGUCUAAACCAGUCACUUCUCUAAUUACAAUUUAUGAGAAAUAAUGGAACAAAGGAGCAUGUUAAAUGGUGCCAUGAGGAUGCAAUAGCAGAGUCUAAUGCAGAAAACCUGCAGGACAAAUAACCCUAUUUCUUCUACGAAAAUAAAUUUGGAAAGAAAAAAUCUGAUGAAGAUGGAUGGACUCCAAAGAUCACAGCAGACUUAAGGAGAAAGCAGCCAAUUACAAUGUAUGGAGCUCAUUUAGAUUGUGAUUCAAACUGUAAAAGCAAAAGGAAACUUCUGUAAGACACUUGGGGGACUUAGGAACACCAGCUGAAUACUUGAUGAUAUUAAAUAAUCAUUUUCACUUCUUUAGGCAUAAUGUACAUAAGCUUAUAUUCUAAACGUUGAGAUUUUAUCUUUUAGAGGCAUAUGCUAAAGAAUUUACUGGUAAAAUUAUAUGAAAUCUGGAAUUUGCUUCACAUUAACAUGGAUAAGGGUAUAGAUGAAACAACAUUGGCCAUGAGUUGAUAAAUGUUGAAGCUGAAUGAUCAGCACAUGAGGGUUCAUUAUGUUUUAUUUAUUUAAUUUAAAGAGGGUAUCCAUCUGUCACCCAGGCUAGAGUGCAGUGACACAGUCAUAGCUCACUGCAGCCUCACACUCAUGGGCUCAAGUGAUUCUCUGCCUCAUCCUCCCUGCCCCACCCCCCAAGCCCCUCCAAAUAGGACAACAGGCAUGGACCAUGCCAAGCUAAUUUUUAAUUUUUUUUUUUUUUUUUUUUUGUAAAGAUGCAGUCUCACUAUGUUGCCUAGACUGGUCUCAAACUCCUGGCCUCAAGCAAUUCUCCCACCUUGGCUUCCCAAAUUACUAAGAUUACAGGUGUGAGCCACCAAACCCAGCCAGGAGUGCAACUUUAAAAAGAGUAGUUCCUUUAUUUUUAUAUACACUUGAAGUUUUUCAUUAUAAAACAUUUAAGUGAUGUGAUUACGAAGAUGAAAAAACAAAUAGUAUCAGAAAUGAGUAGGUAAAUUUAAAAAGCAAAUUCGCACUUCUUCAACAAAAAUAAAUUGUGUAAGUCAGAUAUUCAGUUGAUAGGUUACAUGAAUUAGACAUAAUUAAAUAGUGAAUUGCAAGCUUUGUAAAAAAAAAUUUACCUGGAUUAUAAUAGAGAUAAGGAGACAAAUGAAUCAACACGCUUAGGAAGUAUCAUGUAUUCCAACCUGGAAAAAUAAAAAAUCCAUACCUACAUACAUUAUAGUAGAACUAACAGCAAAGGUAAAGGUGUCUUAAAGCAUCUGUUUCUGUCAGGGUACUGCCAGGAAAACAGAAAUAACACUAGAUAUUUCAGAAAAGCCAAUUUAAUUUAGAGAAUUGAUUGCAUUGUUGUAGAGAGCUGAAAGAGAAAAAGGAAACAAGGAAGUAAACGAGAGAUAACUGUAGGGAACCAGCUCCACCUCAAGGUGUGGCAGCAAGUGAUUAGAGUUUUCAGAAUUUGAAAGUUCACAGAAGAAACCCUGAGGAGCUGGAACUCCUGCUUAUGCAAAGGACAGCACUGCCGUAGAAAGGUGCAAUGAGGCUGGGUCUGGGAGUGCUGAAAGAGCCUGGAGACUGGAGUGCUGUUGCUGGCAUAACACUGACAGGAGCAGCAUGCAAACAGAAAGUCCCUUCUCCCUCUUGCCUUCCAAUCUCCUAGUGCACAUGUUUGCUGAACCUAACAAGAAGCCUGUUAACAAACAAGAAAUGUGCUUUGCAGAGUUGCAGCAGACUUAUGACAAAGCAGAUUUGAACCUGAAAGAUACAAACCCAAACAUGGUGGAAAAUAAUGAUUUGUGGGAUUUUAAAAGAAAUGACUGAAAGACUGUACAAAGUAGAAUGCAUAUUCAAGAAUGGGAUGAUCAGAGUUUAGGUUUUCAAAAGUUCUUUUAUUGUUCAGGAGAAGAGACUUAAUACAUUGUUUAGACUUCGUUACAUUUUUACAAUAAAAUUUAAGGAUAUCAUUAAAAGAAUGCACAAAUCUAAAACCUGUGAGAAUAAAAUAAUGAUGUAAGAAGAGAAUGACCCAAAAAUAUCAAUAGAAGAAAAUGAAAAAAAGAAGGCAUUCAACAAUCUGGACAAAUACAAAAUAAUCUAUAAUAUAGCAGUGACAAUAAUGUCAAAUUGGAAAAUUUUUAAAGGAACUGCAUAUUUUUAUGACUCACACCUAAAACAUAACAGAAAUGUUUCAACAGUUGGAAAAUAAAUACCAGAUACAAACUAAUCAAAAGGAGGUACGCAUAGUUAUAUUAAUUACCUGAAAACUAUGUAUUUCAAAAUAAAAAGUAUUAAGAUUAGAGAGAAUGACUGCAUAAUGAUAAAAUGUUUAAAUUACCAGAAAGAUGUACCAGUUCUAAAUUUAAACAUAUUCAGUAAAAUAACCUCAAAAGAGGUAAAGCAAGAAAAAAAAAGAUCUAAAGUUAGAAAUUGCAAAUCUGUUGACAUAAACACCCUUCUCCAUUGUGGCUAAGCCAGUCAGUUUGUACCUAUGUUUAUGUUCAUGAGAGAUAUUGGUCUGUGGUUUUUUAUUAUAAUGUUUUUGUGAAGUUUUGUUACCAGGAUAUUAACGGCCUUGUUUAAUGUGUUAGAAGUGUUUCCUUCACUUUAGUUUUCUGAAAGAGUCUGUAGAGAAUUGGUGUUCUUCUUUAAAUAUCUGGUAGAAUUUGCCAGUGAAGCCAUCUGGUACUACAGUUCUCUUUGUGGGAGGUUUUUAAUUACAGUUCUAGUAUCUUUAAUAGAUAUAGGGCUAUUCAAAUUAUCUCUUCUUUGGUGAUCUUUGGUAAUUGUGUCUUUCAAGGGAUUUGUUCAUUUCAUCUAAGUUGUUUAAUUUAUAGGCAUAAAGUUCUUCAUAUUAUUUUCUUAUCCUUUUACUAUCUGUAGGAUCUGUAGUAAUGGACCUUCUCUUAAUCCCGAUAUUGGUAUUUUGUAUCUUCUCUCUUUUUUUUCUGAUCAGACUCACUAGAAGUUUAUGAAUUUUAUUUAUUUAUUUAUUUUUGGAUGGGGACAGAGUCUCACUCUCUCCCAGGCUGGAGUCCGUGAUACAUACUCUCAGCUCACUGAAACCUCUGCCUCCUGGGUUGAAGUCAUUCUCGUACCUCAGCCUUCUGAGUAGUUGGGAUUACAGGCAGGUACCACCACACCUGGCUAAUUUUGUGUACUUUUAGUAGAGAUGAGGUUUCACGAUGUUGCCCAGACCAGUCUCAAACUCCUGAGCUCCAGUGAUACACUCACCUCAGCCACCAUGCCUGGCCAGUUUUAUUGAUUUUAAAUAAUCAGUUUGGGGAUCCCCACUGACUUUUCAACAUCUUUUUGUUUUCUCUUUCAUUUAUGUCUGCUUUUAUCUUUGUAAUUUGUCUUCUGCUUCUUAGGAUUUAAUUUUUUAUUCUUUUUUUAGGUUUUUAAUAGUUUUUUUCUUAAGUUUUUAAUAUAAGUUGUAUCAUUGACUUGAUCCCUCUCUUCUUUUCUAAUGUAGAUGUUUAGUGCUAAAAGUUUCCUGUAAAUUUGUGACAAAUUUGAUCUGUCAUGUUUUCAUUUUCAUUCCGUGUAAAGUACUUUUUAGUUUUCCUUCUGAUUUUUUUGGCCCAUGAGUUAUUUAGGAGUAUGAUAUUUGGUUUCCAACUAUUUGGGUGUUUUCUAGAUAUCUUUCUUUAGUUGGUAGCUAGUUUAAUUCCAUUGUAGUAAAUGAACAUACUUUGUAUGAUUUUCAUUCUUUCCCACUUAUUCAAGCUUGUUUUAUGGGCCAGAAUAUGGUCUACCUUGGUAAAUGUUUCAUGUGCUCUAGAAAGGAAUACUGACUUCUGCUGUAGGUGGAGCAUUUUAGAAACAUCAGUUAGGUUAAGAUCAUGAUAGUAUUGUUCAUGUUUUCUUUGUCUUUACUGAUUUUCUUGGUCUUCUAUAAAUUGUUAAGAGGCUAAAAUAUUCAACUAUAUUAAUAAUUAUGAAUUUGUUUAUAUAUUAUUUUAGUCCUGUAAGUUUUUGAUUUGUGUAUUUCUAAGUUCUGUUACUAGGUAUAGAAAUCAGUAAAAUAGAAAACAAAGAUACAAUAGAGAAGAUGAACAAUCUACAAGUUAUAUUUCUUUGAAACAAAUAGUAAAAUAAACUUCUGGCAAAAUUAGAUAAAAAGUACAGAUACUCAGUGUAAGGGAAAAGGGUGAAACAAAACUAUAAUUAUAUCAAAUUAAGAGAUAAGAAAGGGGUAUAAUUACAACUUUAUGCCAAUAAAUUGAAAAACAAGUCGAAUUCUUAGAAAAACGUAAUGUACUUAAACUGAUUCAAGAACAAAAAGAAAACCUGAAGAGUCUUCUAAUUCUCAAAUAAAUUGAAGUAAUACAUUUUUUAGAAAUCUUCUCACAAAGAACACAACAAGGUCUAUUGAUUUUGCAAGUAUGAAUUGAGAAAUACCUCAUCCUAAUAUAAACAGACUUCCAGACAUAAGAAAAGGGUAUGGCAUACCAGUUAAUUCCUUGAAACGGGUAUAGCCUUUAAAACAAAACCAGACAUUGUGAGAAAGAAAAAUUAUUCAUAGUUAUAUAUGUUGCCAUGUGUAAUUUUUAAGUUAGAGACCACUAACCUCAUGAACUUAGGUUUCAAAACCAUUAAGUAAAAUAUUAACAGAUUGACUCCAGCAGCACAUUUCUUUAAAAAAAAGAUAUACCUUGAUAUAUCCAACUUGUUGGGUUUAUCCCAGAAAUACUGAAAAUGGUCUAACUCUAGGAAAACGUAAAAGUUUCAUCACCAAAUUAAAGGAGAAAACUAUGGAAUCAUUUUAGAUUGCAUUUGACAUAAUCCAUACCCAUUUAUGAUGUAAAACUAAUGUAAAUAAUGUGGUGAAAAGAAUCAACAGAACGUCUACUUCAAAGAUGAUUCUUAAUGAGAAAAUAAGAAAAAAGUUUUUUGAAAUCAGGAAAAAGAAUGCAGACCAUCACCACUUCUUUUCAACCUUGUACUGAAACUCCUAGCACGUAUAGUAAAUCAAUAAAAAGAAAUUAGGCUGGGCUCAGUGGCUCACGCCUAUAAUCCCAGCACUUUGGGAGGCCAAAGUGGGCAGAUCACUUGAGGUUAGGAGUUCGAGACCAGCCUGAUCAACAUGGUGAAACCCCCAUCCUAAAAACAUAUAAAUUAGCCAGGCAUGGUGGCACAGCCUGUAAUCCCAGCCAUUCAGGAGGCUGAGGCAGAAAAAUCACUUGAACCCAGGAGGCAGAGAUUGCAGUGAGCCAAGAUUGCAUCACUGUACUCUAGCCUGGGCAAUAGAGUCAGACUCCGUCUCAAAAAAAAAGAAAGAAAGAAAGAAAUGGCAAAAGUAUAAAGAAGAAAAAGCAAAAUAUUAUUCAGAGAUGAUAUGAUUAUCUGUAUAGUAAACCCCAAAGAAUCUACAGACAGUUUUUUGGAAACACUAUUUUCCUCAAAGUAACUUCCUAUAAACUCAAAAAUUAAAAAGUUGCAUUUCUGUACAAUAGCACAAAAUUUGAAAGUGUAAUUUUUAAAAGUAUACAUUGUUUCAAAAAUAUAAAGUUCUCAGUAAAUCUUAUAAAAAUUAUUAACACCUGUAUGCGCAAGAGAUAAAACUUUAUCAAAAAGUAUUUUAAACAGCCUACAUAAACAGAUAUAUAAUGUUCAUGGAUAAGAAGGCACAUGUUAUGAACAUGUCAGUUUUUCCCAAUUUGAUUUAUAGAGUCAAUGCUAUUGUAAGCAAAGCACCAGCAGGGUUUUUUAUGGCACUUGAAAAGCAGGUCUUUAUAUGGAAAGGUAAAGCUUGAAGAAUAGACCUGACACUCUUGAAAAUAAAAAUAAGUCAGAAUUGCCUUACUUUUAUAAUAAAACAAAACAUUAUGCAUUUUGCUCAAGCAUAAACAAAAAUGGCUAGGAAGACUAAAUGGAAAGCCCAGAAACAGACUCUAACACAGGGGUCCCAAUUCCCAGAGCACAGACAGUCUGUGGCCUGUUAGAAGCUGGGCUACACUGCAGGAAGUGAGUGGCAUGUGAGCUUCAUCUCUAUUUACAGCAACUCCCUAUCACUUGCAUUACUGCCUGAGCUUCUCCUCCUCUGCCUUAGAUUCUCAUAGGAGCGCAAACCCUAUUGUGAACUGCAUGCACAUGCAAGGGAUCUAGGUUGCACAAUCCUUAUGAGAAACUAAUGCCUUAUGAUCUGUCAUUGUCUCCCAUCACCUCCAGAUGGGACCAUCUAGUUGCAGGACACAAGCUCAGGGCUCCCACUGAUUCUGCAUUGUGGUGAGUUGUAUAGUCAUUUCACAAUGUAAUAAUAAUAGAAAUAAAGUGCACGAUAAAUGUGAUGCACUUAAAUCAUCCCGAAACCACCCCCUACGCCGUCCAUGGAAAAUCUGUCUUCUAUGAAACCAAAAACAGUUGGUGCCAAAAACAGUUGGGGACCUCUGCACUAACAUAUAGAACUGUGAUAUGUUAAAAACUGUGAUAUAUGAUAUGUUAACAUAAAGAACUGUGAUAUAUUAUUGAAAAUUGUUAUGAAGAGAAGGGACUAUUCGGGAAAUGUACUGGGGCAAUUGCUUAGUUAAUUUCAAUCUUCAUAUCUUACACAAAAAUUCAAUUCCACAUGAAUUAAGGGCUCAAGUAUCAAAAACAAAAUGUUAAAAAUAAGAGUAAAAUAUAGGAGAUGAUCUUUCUGGCUGUGGAGUAAGGAACGUUUUCUUCUUAAAGAAGACACAAAAUAACUAUAAAAGAAAAUGUUAAAUGAAUUCAAGUAUAUUAAAGUUUAGUUUUUUUAAUUAAAGAGAGGCAAGCCAGAGGGAAAACAUGUAACACAUUUAAUCCACAAAAGAUUAAUAUACAAAAACAUAUAAAUUGAUGAAAAGUAAUAAAAUAGAAAAAUGCAUAAAAGAUAUUAACAGACAUUUCACAAAAAGAAAUUAUAUAUGUGAUGAAUAAAUGUAAGAAACAAUUCUCAGUCUCACUAGUAAUCAGGAAGUGCUAAGUACUACCACAGGAAGAUGCCAUUUUCCCCUCACCCGGUGCGGUUAGGAAGGAUAUGGAUCAAGAGUUCCUUUUAAACAAUGUUAAUGGGGUUGUAAGCUGGCAUAGUGCCUUUGGGAAACAAUGUGGCGAUCUCUUGGUUUUCUUUUUUUGAACAUAUGCAUAUCCUGUGGCCCAGAAAUUCUGCUCCUUGGUAUCUACUGUAGACUAUAGCAAGACACAGUCGAACAGGAAGCAAUCUAAAUGCCUGUCUACAGAAAAUGGAUAAAUACCGUGUAGUAUAUUCAACUUAAUGAGCAUUGAAUUGUGCAGCAAGGAAACUGAAUAAACAUAACAUAAAUGCAUCUUAGAAAUACAAUAUUGAAUAAAAAAUCCCAAAUUGGACUAAUCUGCGGACAGUACACCGUAAUCCCCCCUUAUCUGCGGCUUUCUUUUCCAUGGUUUCAGUUACCUACAGUCGAUCUUGGUCCAAAACUAUUAAAUGGAAAAAUUCCAAAAAUAAGUAAGUUUUUAAGUUGUCCACCAUUCUGAGUAGCAUGAUGAAAUCACCUGCUGUCGGGCUCAGUCCACACGGGAUGCAAAUCACCUCUUUACCCAGUGUAUCCACACUGUAGAGGCUCCCUGCCUCUCAGUUAUCAGAUUGAAAAAACAUAGUAAAUAUAUAAAACUGGAUCCUAUCCACGGUUUCAGGCCUCCACUGGGAGUCUUGGAAUGUAUCCCCCUCAGGUAGGAGGGAUUACUGUAUGAUUUUUAUAAAGUGCAGGAAGAAGUAAACUAAUAUAUAUUGUUGAAUCAAGUAUACAUGUAUGCCAGUAAUAGAACUCUGUUUAAAAGGAGAAAUGGAAUAAUUAAGUUAAAUUUAGAAGAGUGUGUGAGGAUGGAAUGAUGUAAGAACACAUAGUUAAUACAAGUUCAUUUUUCAGUAAGGUAGUCAUUUCUGGAAUAUUCAUUAUUGUAUGUUUUACAGCAUGAAUAUGUUUUAUAUAGUUAUAUAUUUACUAUUUAUGUUAUAUAAUUAUAUAUUUACUUGGCCUGGUGGCUUAUGCCGGUAAUCCUAACACUUUGGGAGACUGAGGCGGGAGGAUUACUUGAGCCCAGGAUUUCAAGAACAGCCUGGACAUGGCAACAUCCCAUCUCUACAAAAAAAUAUAAAAAUUAGCCAAGCAUGGUGGUACACACCUGUAGUCCCAGCUACUCAGGAAGCCAAGGUGGGAGGCUGAGACAGAAGUAUCACUUGAGCCCAGGAGUUCAAGGCUUCAGUGAACUAUGAUUACACCACUGCACUCCAGUGUGGGGGACAGAGCAAGAUCUGCCUCAGAAAAAAGAAGAAAUUAUAUAUUAUAUGUGUAUUUAAUUAUUUAUGUUCUUUUGUGUGUCAGAUAUUAGCAUUAAAUAAAGAUUUUUUUAUUUUUUUGAGUUGGAUUCACACUCUGUCACCCAGGCUGGAGUACAGUGGCACAAUCUUGGCUCACUACAACCUCCGCCUUCCAAGUGCAAGUGAUUCUCCUGCCUCAGCUUCCUGAGUAGCUGAUAUUACAGGUGCCUGCCACCUGUAAUAUUAGCCUGGCUAAUUUUUUUGUAUUUUUAGUAGAGUUGGGGUUUCACCAUAUUGGCCAGGCUUGUUUUGAACUCCUGACCUCAAGUGAUCCGCCUACCUCAGCCUCCUAAAAGUGCUGAGAUUACAGGCAUGAGCCACUGCACCAGGCCUAAGAUCAUGUUAUUUAAAAUCCUUUUGGAAUGCCAGUCAAAAAGAACAAGUUACUUGACAAGAAGGAACAAGUCAGGCUAGCCUCAGAUUUCUCUGCAGCAGCAUUCGACACCAAGAGGCAAUAGAGAAAUGCUGACACAUUAUUUGAGGAAAGAAUAAGCUGUGGUUUUAAAUCCAACCAAGCUGUCUCUUAGCCCUGAAAGCAGCAGACAGGAAGUUUUCAACAUAUAUGAGUGUAUUCAUUUGCUAGGGCCGCUAGAACGAAAUACCACAGGCAAGGUGGCUUAAACGGCAAAAAUUUAUUUGAUCACAGGUCUGGAGGCUGGAAGUCAAAGAUCAAAGUUCUGGCAGAGUUGCUUUCCUCUGAGACCUCUCUCUGGCUUGCAAUUGGCCACCCUCUUGCUGCCUCUUCACACGGUUGUUUCUCUGUGCACAUGGGACCCUGGUUUGUCUCUCCUUCUUCUAGGUCCUUCCUAUAAAUCCAGUCAUUUACAGUUAGGGCCCCACUCUCAUGGCCUUAUUUUAACUUAAUCACUGCUCUAAAGACUUCCAAAUACAGUUAUAUUCUGAGAUACAGGGGAUUGGGACUUAAAAAUAUGAAUUUUGGCCAGGCAUGAUGGCUUAUGCCUGUAAUGCCAGCACUUUGGGAGGCCAAAGCGGGCAGAUCACAAGGUCAGGAGUUCAAGACCAGCCUGGCCAGCAUGGUGAAACUCUGUCUCUACUAAAAAUACAAAAUUAGCUGGGCAUGGUGGCACAGGCCUGUAGUCCCAGCUACUUGGGAGGCCAAGGCAGGAGAAUCACUUGAACCUGGCAGGCGAAGGUUGCACUGAGCUGAGAUCAUACUCCAGCCUGGGCAACAGAGCAAGACUCCAUCUCAAAAAAAAAGUGAAUUUUAGGGGAACAUGGUUCAACCCAUAUCAGUGAUCUCAUAGAAUAUUGUUCCCAUGAGCUCUUCUUGAGGAAACUUUUAGAAGAUGAGCUUUUAGCCAACCAGGAGAUGAUUGGGAAAAUCACACAAAACUAAUGUCAGUGAUCACUGAUUAUAUUCAGCUGUAAAACCAAUACUAGAACAAAGGUGAGGCAUACAGUGAUAGGCCAGAAUGUAAAUACACUAUGCCCUGACAAUGUGGAAUUAUAAAAUUGACAAAGGUUAUAUUGAAAAAAAAUCAGACAAGCAGUUAAGUUUUCUGAGUGCCUCUUCUGUAACGGCUGGGAGUCAGAGAUCUUCAACCAAAGUGGUAAAUGACACAGACUUUAAAAAUCCAAAAUUAGACCUAAGUUAAAAAUUUAGCCUACAUUAAAUACUGUAGUUUUAUAUAUAGUAAAGGUAGUAUCUCACUGGGGAAACAGGUGAAUUAUUAAUUAAAUUUUGAGACGAAUUAGUAGCUAACUGGAGAAAAGAUAAGUUGGAGCCAUAUCUUUUACUUUACAGCAGGUAAAAUUUCAAAUGGAUUAAAUAUUUAAACAUAAAAAAAGAAAUUAUAAAAAUUCUGUAGGGGAAAUGGUAAAAUUUUUCUUUUUCUUUUUCUUUUUUGAGACGGAGUUUUGCUCUUGUUACCCAGGCUAGAGUGCAAUGGUGCGAUCUCAGCUCACCGCAACCUCUGCCUCCUGGGUUCAGGCAAUUCUCCUGCCUCAGCCUCCUGAGUAGCUGGGAUUACAGGCACACACCACCAUGCCCAGCUAAUUUUUUUGUAUUUUUAGUAGAGACGGGGUUUCACCAUGUUGACAGGAUGGUCUCAAUCUCUUGACCUCGUGAUCCACCCACCUCGGCCUCCCAAAGUGCUGGGAUUACAAGUGUGAGCCACUGUGCCCGGCCUCUUUUUCUUUUUAAGAAACAGGGUCUAACUCCGUCUCCCCCAAGCUAACGUGUACUGAGCGGCAUGAUCAUAGCUCACUGUAACCUCAAACUCCUAGGCUCAAGUGAGCCACCUGCCUCAGCCUCCUAAGUAGUGGAGACUGCAGGUAUACAACAUCCCACCCAGCUAAAUUUUUUAUUUUUUGUAGAGACAGGAUCUUGCUGUGUUGCCCAGGCUGAUCUCCUCCUGCCUUGGCCUCCCAAUGGACUGAGUUUACAGGCAUGAGUCACCAUGCCUGGCCCAGUAAAAUUUUUUGAUAACCUUGGAAUGAGAUAGGGCUUUCUAACUACAACUAAAAAUCCAGAAGUCACUGGAGAUCAUUAAAAAGCCAAACUCUGUAGCAAUCAAAAUCUGUAUCACACAAAGUACCUACCGUUAAGUCCAAAGGCAGACUUUAAACUCGGGAAACAUAUCUGUAAUUCAUAUCAUAGGCAAGGAUGAUCUCCCUAAAAUGUAAAGAGCUUUUUACCAACAGGCAAGAUAAAAACCUCUUAGAACAAUUAACACAAUAUAAAAACAGAUAGUUUACAGAAAAGACAUACGAAAAGCUAACGAAUAUGAAAGGAUGGGCAGCUCCUCUCAUAAGAAGGGAAAUGCAGAUUCAAACCACGUUUCUCAGAUUGGCAGAGGACUAAGAUCUUAGUAACAGACUCUGUGGUGGGGCUAUAAAGAAAUGGUGAUACUCAUAUGUUUCUGGCAGGAGAUUAAAUUGUUAUAAUCCGCCUGGGCGUGGUGGCUCAUACCUGUAAUUUCAGCACUUUGGGCAGCCGAAGUGGGUGGAUCACCUGAGGUCAUGAGUUCAAAACCAGCCUGGCCAACAUGGUGAAACUCUGUCUCUACUAAAAAUACAAAAAUUAGAUGAGUGCAGUGGCUCACGCCUGUAAUUCCAGCUACUGGGGAGGCUGAGACAGGAGAAUCACUUGAACCCAAGAGGUGGAGGUUGCAGUGAGCUGAGAUUGUGCCACUGCACAUCAGCCUGGGUGACAGAGUGAGGCUCCAUCUCAAAACAAAAAGAAAUUGUAGAAUGAAACCUAAGAAACAAAAUAGUGUUUACUUAUCUACAGUGGAGACAAGGAUGGGAGAGAUACUUCCCUGUAUAACUUUGUGUAUUUCCUGGUUUUUGAAACGUGAAUGUGUUAACUAUUCAGAAAGUUUUAAAAUAGAACAUAGACAUGUGAUAUAGUUCUGCUAUUCAGUAGUUGAGUGAACUUGGGCAAGACUCUUAACCUCUCUGAAAUCUAUAAAUAAUUUUCUCAUUUAUAGAAGGGCUAUCAUAGUAGUAUCCAGCUCAUAGGAUUGUUCUAAGGAUUAAUGAAUGACAGGAGGAACAGAAAGUGCUGGGGAAAGAAAGUGCCAGCACUUUGUAAAUACUCAGUUGAAUGGCCAUGACUCGUGUUACUGAACUUAAUCUUGGUAAUAAGUGAGUAUAUUCUUGAAAAGACACCAGUCUUAGCUAACAUUCCU